CAAUGCAAUGAGCACAUAAAAAAGCGAGCAUAAUAAUAAUAUAGUCCAUUGGUUAUUUGGCUGAAAGGACCCUCACAUCCACUGCGGUUUUUGUUUGUUUGCUUCUGCUCUUUUUUUUCUUUCUUCUGUUUCGGC
rnacentral:ribozyme from 1 species